ensembl:lincRNA linc-37 ncRNA
CAGUCUUCAAAUGGAUCAUAUGAUUUUCUAACAAGUCGCCCUUUCGACGUCCUGUCAAUGCAAUGUGUGAUCAAAAAGAAAACUCCGCUUAUCAAUCUUCAAUUCUUAUCAAAUGACGUUAUGAAGAAUUGAAGCAAAAGUCCAAUGUGCGAUUGUUUAAAUGGAAUGUAUAUGUUCUAUGAAGUUGUUAUUAUACCUAUGUGUUAAAUUCAAAUAUCGAAAAUAAGCAAAUGUUAAUAAAUUUGCUCAUAGAACGCACAAGUAAUGAGUUCACACCAUAUCUUGUCUGUAUAUAAAAAUUC